GUCCAAGCUGUGGUUGUUGCACUUCAGCAUCUAGCUAGCUAUUGGUACAGAAGAAGAGCUAGCAUAAGUGGGGUAACAUUUUUAAGUUUCAGCGUGAACGAAGUAAGAAAGACUACUGGAGAGGAAGAAGAAAGAUUAUAUUUAAAGCUCCAGAGGUGAUCUGAGCCUUUGGGGACCUUCUCCAUCCUUCCCGGCCCACUCACUAGCUCCCCGCCUGGGCUUCACUGG